UACGUGAGGGGCAAGCGUUGUCCGGAAUCAUUGGGCGUAAAGCGCGUGUAGGCGGCUGGGUAAGUCCGCUCUGAAAGCCCGGGGCUCAACCCCGGGAGGCGGGUGGAUACUGCUCAGCUCGAGUCCGGAAGAGGAGUGUGGAAUUCCUGGUGUAGCGGUGAAAUGCGCAGAUAUCAGGAGGAACACCGAUGGCGAAGGCAGGUCUCGUGGGCCACUACUGACGCUGAGAAGCGAAAGCAUGGGAGCGAACAGG
rnacentral:rRNA from 1 species